CCUUGCACUCUCACCACUACCUAGUCGACACUUUUCUUCUUUCAGUUUGCUUAGGAUUUUAGUUAUGCAGGCAAGGAAGAAUACAACAUUGUCACAGGACAACGAAACGACAUCAAAGGUUCUCCAUUUUCACCCCUCGACCCUUGACUGCUUAAUAAAAUCGUUUGUGACGAAAAAAUGGCUACCGGUGAGAAGGGGCGCAGCAACGAGAUCAGAUGUUGGGAGUGCAAAACCUACAUGGAAAAAGUUGCACGUGAAUAUCAUUAUUUCGUUAUUACACCCAAAAUCCUAGUGCUCCUCAUCCACCUAUUUGCUGCCGUUCAUGCUCCGUAUGUAUGAGUCGUUGUGGACUUCAGCAGUAACUCUACCUUUGGAGUCACCGUCCUCUGUAUUCGAUUGUACAGUGGAUUUGAUAAAGUAGGUAUAAGUAAAAGAGGAAGCAACUCAAAGCUGAUGCCUUUCGAAAUUCUUCAAACGGGUCAAGCCUUAAACUUUUAAUUUGGUUAAAUAUGUUAUAAUAAUUAGUUAAAUUACAAUAAUAUAAAUUGAUUCUUAAUAACAAAAA